rnacentral:rRNA from 1 species
AGAGUUUGAUCCUGGCUCAGGAUGAACGCUGGCGGUAUGCCUAACACAUGCAAGUCGUACGAGGGUUUUUAACUCUAGUGGCGGACGGGUGAGUAACACGUGAGAAUUUGCCUUUAGGAGGGGGAUAACAAUCGGAAACGAAUGCUAAUACCCCAUAUGCUUUCGAGUGAAACGGAUUUAUCCGCCUAAAGAGAAGCUCGCGGCUGAUUAGCUUGUUGGUAAGGUAAGAGCUUACCAAGGCGACGAUCAGUAUCUGGUUUGAGAGGACGAUCAGACACACUGGAACUGAGACACGGUCCAGACUCCUACGGGAGGCAGCAGUGGGGAAUUUUCCGCAAUGGGCGAAAGCCUGACGGAGCAAUACCGCGUGAGGGAAGACUGCCUAUGGGUUGUAAACCUCUUUUUUCAGGGAGGAAUAAAAUGACGUGUACCUGAAGAAUAAGCAUCGGCUAACUCCGUGCCAGCAGCCGCGGUAAGACGGAGGAUGCAAGUGUUAUCCGGAAUCACUGGGCGUAAAGCGUCUGUAGGUGGCUUAAUAAGUCAACUGUUAAAUCUUGAGGCUCAACUUCAAAAUCGCAGUCGAAACUAUUAGACUAGAGUAUAGUAGAGGUAAAGGGAAUUUCCAGUGGAGCGGUGAAAUGCGUAGAUAUUGGAAAGAACACCGAUGGCGAAAGCACUUUACUGGGCUAUUACUAACACUCAGAGACGAAAGCUAGGGUAGCAAAUGGGAUUAGAUACCCCAGUAGUCCUAGCCGUAAACUAUGGAUACUAGAUGUUGAACAGAUCGACCUGUGCAGUAUCAAAGCUAACGCGUUAAGUAUCCCGCCUGGGGAGUAUGCUCGCAAGAGUGAAACUCAAAGGAAUUGACGG